rnacentral:pre_miRNA from 15 species
CGACAAAGAGAGCCAUCUGUUGACAGUCAUAUAUUGCAACUGUCAUGGAAUUGCUCUCUUUACAUGC